rnacentral:rRNA from 1 species
GACUACAUGAAGCUGGAAUCGCUAGUAAUCGCGGAUCAGCACGCCGCGGUGAAUACGUUCCCGGGCCUUGUACACACCGCCCGUCACACCAUGGAAGUCUGCAAUGCCCGAAGCCGGUGGCCUAACCACUUAUGUGGAAGGAGCCGUCUAAGGCAGGGCAGAUGACUGGGGUGAAGUCGUAACAAGGUACC